GAUGAACGCUGGCGGCGUGCUUAACACAUGCAAGUCGAACGGAAAGGCUCCUGCUUGCAGGGGUACUCGAGUGGCGAACGGGUGAGUAACACGUGGGUGAUCUGCCCUGCACUUCGGGAUAAGCCUGGGAAACUGGGUCUAAUACCGGAUAGGACGAUGGUUUGCAUGCCAUUGUGUGGAGUUUUUUCGGUGUGGGAUGAGCGCGCGGCCUAUCAGCGUGUUGGUGGGGUAUUGUCCUACCAAGGCGUCGACGGGUAUACGGCCUGAGAGGGUGUACGGCCACAUUGGGACUGAGAUACGGCCGAGACUCCUACGGGAGGCAGCAGUGGGGAAUAUUGCACAAUGGGCGGAAGCCUGAUGCAGCGACGCCGCGUGGGGGAUGACGGCCUUCGGGUUGUAAACUGCUUUCGCUAGUGACGAAGCGACAGUGACGGUAAUUUGUAAAGAAGCACCGGCUAACUACGUG
rnacentral:rRNA from 1 species